rnacentral:rRNA from 1 species
CCUACGGGAGGCUGCAGUGAGGAAUAUUGGUCAAUGGACGAGAGUCUGAACCAGCCAAGUAGCGUGAAGGAUGACUGCCCUAUGGGUUGUAAACUUCUUUUAUAUGGGAAUAAAACGUUCCACGUGUGGGAUUUUGUAUGUACCAUAUGAAUAAGGAUCGGCUAACUCCGUGCCAGCAGCCGCGGUAAUACGGAGGAUCCGAGCGUUAUCCGGAUUUAUUGGGUUUAAAGGGAGCGUAGGUGGAUUGUUAAGUCAGUUGUGAAAGUUUGCGGCUCAACCGUAAAAUUGCAGUUGAAACUGGCAGUCUUGAGUACAGUAGAGGUGGGCGGAAUUCGUUGUGUAGCGGUGAAAUGCUUAGAUAUCACGAAGAACUCCGAUUGCGAAGGCAGUUCACUGGACUGCAACUGACACUGAGGCUCGAAAGUGUGGGUAUCAAACAGGAUUAGAUACCCGUGUAGUC